rnacentral:rRNA from 1 species
AUGCGAGCGCAUCGAGACCUGGAGGGCGGAACGUGCAACCGCACACCUCCUGUCCAUGCGCAUCCAUCGACUCGGCUUCAGCUACUCGACGCCUCGCCUUCAACAACGGGUCACAGGCACCUACAUGAGCACUUCUGCAUCGCCGGGCUAUGGAUCUAUAUCUGCAUCAACCAGACCAACGACAUGCAUCUACGUAACCGAUCUUCAUCUGCAUUGACCCCGAGCCGAACGACAUCAACCUGUACGACUACGCCGGGCUAUGAGCGAACAUACUUCUUCAGCAUGGCGCGACAUCGACACUUCGUCACGCGGAGGGACGCCUUCCAGCGACGCAUCAUCGUCGACAUGCCGCUGCAAUGUUAUCGCCGACACUUCAUCGCCAAGGUCUUCAUCAACGUCGUCUUCACCAACAUCUUCAUCAACACACCGCCGCCGCCUCGUCCACAAGAUGGGCACCUAGCGUCCUCUGACAGACUUGUCUGCAAGACGCGACCUCGACGACGGCAAUGA